AGAGUUUGAUCCUGGCUCAGAACGAACGCUGGCGGCAUGCCUAACACAUGCAAGUCGAACGAGACCUUCGGGUCUAGUGGCGCACGGGUGCGUAACGCGUGGGAAUCUGCCCUUAGGUUCGGAAUAACUCAGGGAAACUUGAGCUAAUACCGGAUAAUGACUUCGGUCCAAAGAUUUAUCGCCUAAGGAUGAGCCCGCGUAGGAUUAGCUUGUUGGUGAGGUAAAAGCUCACCAAGGCGACGAUCCUUAGCUGGUCUGAGAGGAUGAUCAGCCACACUGGGACUGAGACACGGCCCAGACUCCUACGGGAGGCAGCAGUGGGGAAUAUUGGACAAUGGGCGAAAGCCUGAUCCAGCAAUGCCGCGUGAGUGAUGAAGGCCUUAGGGUUGUAAAGCUCUUUUACCCGGGAUGAUAAUGACAGUACCGGGAGAAUAAGCUCCGGCUAACUCCGUGCCAGCAGCCGCGGUAAUACGGAGGGAGCUAGCGUUGUUCGGAAUUACUGGGCGUAAAGCGCACGUAGGCGGCUUUGUAAGUUAGAGGUGAAAGCCCGGGGCUCAACUCCGGAACUGCCUUUAAGACUGCAUCGCUAGAAUCCGGGAGAGGUGAGUGGAAUUCCGAGUGUAGAGGUGAAAUUCGUAGAUAUUCGGAAGAACACCAGUGGCGAAGGCGGCUCACUGGACCGACACUGACGCUGAGGCGCGAAAGCGUGGGGAGCAAACAGGAUUAGAUACCCUAGUAGUCC
rnacentral:rRNA from 1 species